CGGGAAUGGAAAGCCCGGUGCAAGCGAAGUAGUCGCAGGGUUGGAAAAUCCGCCCUGCAUGAGACGAAGGCGUGAUGCGGAGCGAAAUGAAGUAGUGAAGCUGCAGCCCCUUCCUGUCGAGAAAAGCCGCUAUCGUGUAGCAAGGGCCCGUACCGUAAACCGACACAGGUGGAUGAGGAGAGGAUCCUAAGGCCGGCGGGAGAAGUGUUGUUAAGGAACUCGGCAAAAUGACUCCGUAACUUCGGGAGAAGGAGUGCUGCGCAAGCAGCCGCAGAGAAAUGGCCCAAGCAACUGUUUAGCAAAAACACAGGUCUAUGCGAAACCGAAAGGUGAGGUAUAUGGGCUGACGCCUGCCCGGUGCUGGAAGGUUAAGGGGAGAGCUUAGCGCGAGCGAAGGUUUGAACUUAAGCCCCAGUAAACGGCGGCCGUAACUAUAACGGUCCUAAGGUAGCGAAAUUCCUUGUCGGGUAAGUUCCGACCCGCACGAAAGGCGUAAUGAUUUGGGCACUGUCUCAACAACACACCCGGUGAAAUUGAAAUACCAGUGAAGAUGCUGGUUACCCGCGCCAGGACGGAAAGACCCCUUGGAGCUUUACUCCAGCCUGAUACUGGGAUUCGGUAUUGCAUGUACAGGAUAGGUGGGAGGCUAAGAACUCAUGGCGCCAGCCGUGAGGGAGCCGGUGUUGGGAUACCACCCCUGCAGUACUGGGUUUCUAACCUGCGCCCGUGACCCGGGCGGGGGACAAUGUCAGGCGGGGAGUUUGACUGGGGCGGUCGCCUCCGAAAGGGUAUCGGAGGCGCUCAAAGGUCUCCUCAGGAUGGUUGGAAACCAUCCAGAGAGUGCAAAGGCAGAAGGAGGCUUGACUGCGACACCGACGGGUGGAGCAGGUACGAAAGUAGGACUUAGUGAUCCGGUGGCAUAAAGUGGGAUUGCCAUCGCUCAACGGAUAAAAGCUACCCUGGGAUAACAGGCUUAUCACUCCCAAGAGUUCACAUCGACGGAGUGGUUUGGCACCUCGAUGUCGGCUCAUCGCAUCCUGGAGCUGGAGCAGGUUCCAAGGGUUGGGCUGUUCGCCCAUUAAAGCGGUACGCGAGCUGGGUUCAGAACGUCGUGAGACAGUUCGGUCCCUAUCCGGCGCGGGCGCAGGAUAUCUGAGAGGAGCUGUCCUUAGUACGAGAGGACCGGGAUGGACCGUCCGCUGGUGGACCGGUUGUCAUGCCAAUGGCACGGCCGGGUAGCCAAGACGGGAAGGGAUAAACGCUGAAGGCAUCUAAGCGUGAAGCCCCCCUCAAGAUGAGAUAUCCAUACUCGAAAGAGUGAGAGACCCCUUAGAGACGAUGAGGUAGAUAGGGCAGAGAUGGAAGUGCAGCGAUGCAUGGAGUUGACUGUUACUAAUCGGUCGAAAGCUUG
rnacentral:rRNA from 1 species